rnacentral:rRNA from 1 species
CUGUGAUGGGGAGAAGACAUUGUGUCUUCGAGUCGUUGAUUUCACACUGCCGAGAAAAGCCUCUAGAUAGAAAAUAGGUGCCCGUACCGCAAACCGACACAGGUAGUCAAGAUGAGAAUUCUAAGGUGAGCGAGCGAACUCUCGUUAAGGAACUCGGCAAAAUGACCCCGUAACUUCGGGAGAAGGGGUGCUCUUUAGGGUUAACGCCCAGAAGAGCCGCAGUGAAUAGGCCCAAGCGACUGUUUAUCAAAAACACAGGUCUCUGCUAAACCGUAAGGUGAUGUAUAGGGGCUGACGCCUGCCCGGUGCUGGAAGGUUAAGAGGAGUGGUUAGCUUCUGCGAAGCUACGAAUCGAAGCCCCAGUAAACGGCGGCCGUAACUAUAACGGUCCUAAGGUAGCGAAAUUCCUUGUCGGGUAAGUUCCGACCCGCACGAAAGGCGUAACGAUUUGGGCACUGUCUCAACGAGAGACUCGGUGAAAUCAUAGUACCUGUGAAGAUGCAGGUUACCCGCGACAGGACGGAAAGACCCCGUGGAGCUUUACUGUAGCCUGAUAUUGAAAUUCGGCACAGCUUGUACAGGAUAGGUAGGAGCCUUUGAAACGUGAGCGCUAGCUUACGUGGAGGCGCUGGUGGGAUACUACCCUAGCUGUGUUGGCUUUCUAACCCGCACCACUUAUCGUGGUGGGAGACAGUGUCAGGCGGGCAGUUUGACUGGGGCGGUCGCCUCCUAAAAGGUAACGGAGGCGCUCAAAGGUUCCCUCAGAAUGGUUGGAAAUCAUUCAUAGAGUGUAAAGGCAUAAGGGAGCUUGACUGCGAGACCUACAAGUCGAGCAGGGUCGAAAGACGGACUUAGUGAUCCGGUGGUUCCGCAUGGAAGGGCCAUCGCUCAACGGAUAAAAGCUACCCCGGGGAUAACAGGCUUAUCUCCCCCAAGAGUUCACAUCGACGGGGAGGUUUGGCACCUCGAUGUCGGCUCAUCGCAUCCUGGGGCUGUAGUCGGUCCCAAGGGUUGGGCUGUUCGCCCAUUAAAGCGGUACGCGAGCUGGGUUCAGAACGUCGUGAGACAGUUCGGUCCCUAUCCGUCGUGGGCGUAGGAAAUUUGAGAGGAGCUGUCCUUAGUACGAGAGGACCGGGAUGGACAUACCUCUGGUGUACCAGUUGUCGUGCCAACGGCAUAGCUGGGUAGCUAUGUGUGGACGGGAUAAGUGCUGAAAGCAUCUAAGCAUGAAGCCCCCCUCAAGAUGAGAUUUCCCAACUUCGGUUAUAAGAUCCCUCAAAGAUGAUGAGGUUAAUAGGUUCGAGGUGGAAGCAUGGUGACAUGUGGAGCUGACGAAUACUAAUCGAUCGAAGACUUAAUCAA